rnacentral:rRNA from 1 species
AUUGAACGCUGGCGGCAGGCCUAACACAUGCAAGUCGAACGAGUGGCGGACGGGUGAGUAAUGUCUGGGAAACUGCCCGAUGGAGGGGGAUAACUACUGGAAACGGUAGCUAAUACCGCAUACCAUCGGAUGUGCCCAGAUGGGAGUAGCUAGGAGGUGGGGUAACGGCUCACCUAGGCGACGAGCCAUAGCUGGUCUGAGAGGAUGACCAGCCACACUGGGACUGGGCAACGGUCCAGACUCCUACGGGAGGCAGCAGUGGGGAAUAUUGCACAAUGGGCGCAAACCUGAUGCAGCCAAGCCGCGUGUUUGGAGAAGGCCUUCGGGUUGUAAAGUACUUUCAGCGGGGAAGCGUUACCCGCAGAAGAAGCACCGGCUAACUCCGGGCCAGCAGCCGCGGUAAUUC